rnacentral:lncRNA from 1 species
UCCUCCCCGGGAGCCGGAGCUGCUGCUGCCCGGGGGAGGCCAAGCCAUGGACGGGGGCAGCCGCUCCCCAGUCACAUGGGGCAGGAGCCGCUGCCUGUCACUGCCCCCCUCCGGGGGAGGAGGCGGCGGCCGGGGGGGGGCACAGGCCCUGCCGAGCCCACCCUCGUUAGCGAGUUAAUUCGUUAACGGGAGCCGCUGGGGCUCUCCCGGCCCCUGCCCGCUGCGGAAGUGCCCCCCCCCCCGUCCCGUCCCGAGCCGCCCGGCGCACGGGUCGCUGUCCUUCGUAGCUAGGGUUAAUAACGUCACCUUCUCCGUUUAUUUAUUAAUGAUGUGAAUAAUUCAUGGCGGGGAGGGCGAUUCCAGGUAGCUAGCGCAUGUGCUCCACCACCUGGAGCAGCCCCCGCUGGGCGCAGCACCCCUGCCAAGGAGGGUGAAGAGCAAGGUGAUUAAUGCUCAUUAAUUAUCCUUGAGCAGGGUCAGGAGCGCCUGUCACCCUUGAACAGACAGCAGGGGUCAGCCGGCGUUGCACGGCGGUUUUCAACUCUCCCAGGUUCCUGGGCCUGAAAGAAAGGGUCUUCCCCAUGUAAGAGCGGGCCCUGCCUGCAGCGGAUUUAGGGCUGGCUUUCCGUACGGACGCUUCCGUGCAGUCAGUUCCCCAUCCAGGGCUCCACAAGGCAGGGGCUGAAAAGCCCUCUCCCUUCACACGUGCGUGUGUGCACACACACAUGCACACUGCCACGAAGGAACUGAACAGUUCCUAAUAACUGAGUCAUUGUUGCCAUCCACAGGAGCCUGGAGUACUGACAGCACAGAAUGAUCCUGAUCCAAAGCGGCAAAGCUGCUCUCCGCAGACAGUGGAGCAGGAAAAUAUGAGCAUGGUUUCAGCUACUGCCACUGCUACGGGGCUGUCAAAGCUGUCCAUCACACAGCCUUCCUCAAGUAUCAGAAGUUUUAUUACUGCCACAUUGGUUACAACAGUAAGCAGUGCAUGUUCAGAGCCUCAGAGGAAAGGACCCAGUGGCACUAGUUGUCUCAACAGUGCAAAAGGAAAUGCACAUGGAGGUGUCUGCAGGAGCAGAAACCGAGGAAGGUUCUGAACCUUUACUAAAAUUGUACAUGUAACAUGAUUAUUUUCAUUGUGUUUUUCUUACUCUAAUAAAGGAUUCAGUGCAGGUGCUUAGUGCA